GGGCCCUGUGGGGAGGAGACCUGGUCAGCUCCAGCUAGACCUAUUUCUCCUCCAGGAGCCACUGCAGACAAGCCGGGUCUUCCCUGCGGGAGCAGCAGCCCACACAGGGGGCAGUGACUCAUGGAGAGGCAGCAGAGCCGGAGGCAGCCUCCACCAGGCUUGGCUGUGCCCAGCAGGCCCCGGGGGCUCUCUCUGGACCUCCAUCUCCCAUCCCCAUGGCGGGGGAGGAGGCCUGGCCCUCUGAGGGUGCGCCUGUGCCCAUCACAACUGCACACAGCCGGUGCGGCCUGUCCUGCAAGGUAGCGCCAGGCCCUGGAGCUCGGCGCCAGGCAGGGCAAGCACUCGGAGGAAUGGGGACGCCAAGGCGUGCAGCCGGCUCGAGAGGGACUCCAGACGCCCUGUCCGCCCCACCACAGGGGUGGGGGGCUAUCCCCACUCCAAGAAGUUCAGCUACACCCUGGCAGGGCCCACCCGGCCAUGGUUGGGUAGAGGGAGACCUCCCGCUGCCUGCGCGCGGGGGAGGGCGCAGGGGCUGGGCGCGUGCCCCCGGGUCACGACUCCGGGAGGUGGAGGUCUGUCCGGUGCUGAGCGCUGGUGGGAGUGCAAGGGACAAAGGAGGCGCAUCUGUUCCCAGCCCCGGAGAAGCUGGUUCCCAUGGCGACCGCGGAGCAGGCCGCGGCUGGGGGGGCGGGUUGCCAGGGAGCGGCGGGGAGGGGGCGCGGGGGCGUCGGCCUGGGGGGGGGCAGCGGCCUCGGGGGGGCGGGCGCGGAGCCGCAAGAUGGCCGCGGCCACCUCCCCGCCGUGCCCAGCCCGGGCGCCCGGAGCAUCCCCGGCCACCUUACACUCGGGGGAAACUGAGGCGGGGCGCAGCACCAGGGAAAGCAGCCGCCUGGACAUUGCGCAGCGCAGCCGGGCGGGGAGACCCGGGAAUCGCAGGGGGUCGGGGCUGGCGCCGGGGUGCUCGGCGGCCCCAGGUCAGCACGGCACGCGCGAGGCCUCUCCCGGAGCGAGAGGAGCGCACAGGCGGCAGCCGCUCCUGCCCCUCCCGGACUUCCGCCCACACGCGACAGCGGGAAACUGAGGCCCAAAGCCUGGCAGGGUCCCAACGGGGACUGGUAUUCUCACUGCUCCCGGUCACAGGCUGCCCGGGCCCUGAGAUGGAAUCUUGCUAUGUUGUCCAGGCUGGUCUCGAACUCCUGGGCUCAAGAGAUCCUUCUGUCUCAGUCUCCUAAAGUGUUGGGACUAGAGGUGUGAGCCCCCACACCCCGCCAGAUUUCCGAUUUUUAAUAAAGACUCCCUAUGGCUGUGUGAAGAAAAGGUACCUGUACUAAACAGGGGGAGGCUGGGGCCUGUUAGGCAAGAGAUGGUAGCCAUGGUGGCCAUGCUGGGUGCACAGGCCAGGACAGGGCGGAAUUCCAGAGGAACCCCAGGUUUGGGGCUGGAGUAAUGGCGCCCUCACCCGUGUGCGACCCUGGAGUGGGGACUGGAGUGAAGUGGUUCCACGAGUGAGACUGAGUCUAUUAGGCCUCCCAGGUUCCUGGAGUGGCAGCUGGAUAUGGGGUCCUGAGAGCCAGGAGAGGAUGUGGUGCACAGGUCACGCCUGGAAAAGUGAGCAGGCCUCACCCUCUGCACCCCCCGAGCCAGGGCCAGAAUGACCAGGCUCCAAGUGACCGUCACAGCGCUGGCCCGGGGGGAGGAGCCAGGCCCACGCCUUCAUCCUGAGUCGGACCAGCAGGGCCUUCUUCAGGACCGUUUCACCGCCCUUAUCUGACUCCCCCUGGUUCUGCCGCAGCCUGGGCCGGAACUAAACUGCAACCCCCAGAAUACUUCACGACGGGGCGUUGUGUCGUCAACGUCGCGUGCGCCCUGCCGGGAGUCGUAGUUCGCGCUUGCGCUCUCGCCGGACUUCGCCUCCCAGACGUCCCUGCGCGUUGUCCCCCUCGCCCUCCAGGCCGCCCGCGCCGCGCCGGAGUCCGCUGUCCGCCAGCUACCCGCUUCCUGCCGCCCGCCGCUGCCAUGCUGCCCGCCGCGCUGCUCCGCCGCCCGGGACUUAGCCGCCUCGUCCGCCACGUCCGUGCCUAUGCCGAGGCCGCCGCCGCCCCGGCUGCCGCCUCUGGCCCCAACCAGAUGUCCUUCACCUUCGCCUCUCCCACGCAGGUGUUCUUCAACGGUGCCAACGUCCGGCAGGUGGAUGUGCCCACGCUGACCGGAGCCUUCGGCAUCCUGGCGGCCCACGUGCCCACGCUGCAGGUCUUGCGGCCGGGGCUGGUCGUGGUGCAUGCAGAGGACGGCACCACCUCCAAAUACUUUGUGAGCAGCGGUUCCAUCGCAGUGAACGCCGACUCUUCAGUGCAGUUGUUGGCUGAAGAGGCCGUGACACUGGACAUGUUGGACCUGGGGGCAGCCAAGGCGAACUUGGAGAAGGCCCAGGCGGAGCUGUUGGGGGCAGCUGACGAGGCCACACGGGCAGAGAUCCAGAUCCGAAUCGAGGCCAACGAGGCCCUGGUGAAGGCCCUGGAGUAGGCGGUGCGUACCCGGUGUCCCGAAGCCCGGCUAGGGGCUGGGCAGGGGUGCCAGGUGGGCCCAGCCAGCUCCUGGGGUCCCGGCCACCUGGGGAAGCCGCGCCUGCCAAGGAGGCCACCAGAGGGCAGUGCAGGCUUCUGCUUGGGCCCCAGGCCCUGCCUGUGUUGAAAGCCCUGGGGACUGGGACAGGGACGCUCCUCCUCAGCUUUGAGCUGUGGCUGCCACCCAUGGGGCUCUUCUUCUGCCUCUCAAGAUCCCCCCAGCCUGCCGGGCCACAUACCAUCCCCUCUGCCCUGCGGAGCCAGCCGCCAAGGUUGACCUCAGCUUCGGAGCCACCUCUGGAUGAACUGGCCCCAGCACCCGCCCCAUUAAAGACCGGGAAGUCUGA